CCGGCAGAAUAAUCUUUCUGUGGAUCAGACGCCAUGUUCUUUUUAACCUCAAUCUUUAAUUGUUGGAUGGUUUGUUUUGAUAUUGGUUGUCAGAUUUCGGAUUGCUACUAUUAUACUGUGAAAUUAAUUUGCAGUGGAAAAUUGAGGUACCAUUUACAAACAAAAUAUUGAAGAGAAUGUGCUCAAAGGAAAUGCAUAUGAAUUCUUUUUUGUUGACCAGGAUGGAACAAUUCUUUGGAACCCAUACUUAGAAUAAGUUAGUUAGGCCUAGUGAUGUACCAGCCAGAAGUAGAGGAUGACAAAGAAAAUCAACUAUGAAUAAUAUUCCAUGGAUAUGAUCCAUGUAUGAUGUAGCAGCCUACAGAAGAAAGAGAUGGACUAAUCUAAGAAAUAUAUUCAUUUUUUCAGUACAUCUUGAUGUGUUUAUUUCAUGUUAUUCAUAAUAAUAUCUUCUUUUUCUGAUCGCUCCUGCUAACU